GUUGAUCUAAACGCAGGAUUUUAAAACUUGAGAGGGCCAGUCAGCUGGUGGUCUCAGCCAGAGAAAACCCAGGUCUUCCUCUUGGGCAAUGAGAAAACCCAGGUGCACAGAAGUUAAAAAUCCUUGCCCCUGCCAUCACCAAUGCCACCACUGGGGCUAGCGGUCCUGCUUCUUGACUUCACGAUAUCAACUGCCCAUCUCACAAGCGGGAGAAGAAGAAGCAGUUGGAACACCGGUGUAGACCACUAGAAGUGGAUCAGCACACAGACCCCCAGCCUGCCUCUGACACCCCGGGGGUUGGGUAGUGUAGUGCAGGGCCCAGUGACAAACCAGCAGAUUCCUCGAGGGCUGAGCCAGCCACUGAGCCCUGCAGAAGCCAACCUUUGCCUCCUUGCCUGGUCCAGUCUGCAAAACAAGCCUCCCUGCUCUAUGCCCCUGUGCUCAAACGGAGCAUCUGUGAGGAGCUGGGCCGGGCUCAGCG
rnacentral:lncRNA from 1 species